rnacentral:rRNA from 1 species
CCGACGAGUGCGAGCAAGGGAGACAGACAUCGGGUGCUAACGUCCGGUGUCAAGAGGGAAACAACCCAGACCGCCAGCUAAGGUCCCAAAGUACAGCUAAGUGGAAAACGAAGUGGGAAGGCUAAAACAGUCAGGAGGUUGGCUUAGAAGCAGCCACCCUUUAAAGAAAGCGUAAUAGCUCACUGAUCGAGUCGUCCUGCGCGGAAGAUGUAACGGGGCUAAGCUGUACACCGAAGCUGCGGAUAUGCGUAAGCAUAUGGUAGGAGAGCGUUCUGUAAGCCUGCGAAGGUGUCUUGUAAAGGUU